rnacentral:rRNA from 1 species
UAAUUGAAGAGUUUGAUCAUGGCUCAGAUUGAACGCUGGCGGCAGGCCUAACACAUGCAAGUCGAGCGGUAACAGGGGAAGCUUGCUUCCCGCUGACGAGCGGCGGACGGGUGAGUAAUGUAUGGGGAUCUGCCCGAUAGAGGGGGAUAACUACUGGAAACGGUAGCUAAUACCGCAUAAUCUCUCAGGAGCAAAGCAGGGGAACUUCGGUCCUUGCACUAUCGGAUGAACCCAUAUGGGAUUAGCUAGUUGGUGAGGUAAUGGCUCACCAAGGCGACGAUCCCUAGCUGGUCUGAGAGGAUGAUCAGCCACACUGGGACUGAGACACGGCCCAGACUCCUACGGGAGGCAGCAGUGGGGAAUAUUGCACAAUGGGCGCAAGCCUGAUGCAGCCAUGCCGCGUGUAUGAAGAAGGCCCUAGGGUUGUAAAGUACUUUCAGUCGGGAGGAAG